rnacentral:rRNA from 1 species
CCUACGGGAGGCAGCAGUAAGGGAUAUUGGUCAAUGGGGGAAACCCUGAACCAGCAACGCCGCGUGAGGGAAGACGGUUUUCGGAUUGUAAACCUCUGUCCUCUGUGAAGAUAAUGACGGUAGCUAAGGAGCAAGCCACGGCUAACUACGUGCCAGCAGCCGCGGUAAUACGUAGGUGGCAAGCGUUGUCCGGAAUUACUGGGUGUAAAGGGAGCGCAGGCGGGAAGCCAAGUCAGCUGUGAAAACUACGGGAUUAACUUGUAGACUGAAGUUGAAACUGGUUUGCUUGAGUGAAGUAGAGGUUGGCGGAAUUCCGAGUGUAGCGGUGAAAUGCGUAGAUAUUCGGAGGAACACCGGUGGCGAAGGCGGCCAACUGGGCUUUAACUGACGCUGAGGCUCGAAAGUGUGGGGAGCAAACAGGAUUAGAUACCCCUGUAGUC